AUGGUUCUAACCCGGUCGGGGCCAGCGCUGAAGAAGCCCGGAGAGUCCCAUACACUGCAAUGUGCCACCAGCGGGUUCACUCUUAGCAGCACCACCAUGAGCUGGGUCAGACAGGAGCCGGGGAAGGGGCUGGAGUGGCUGGUCAGCUACUAUGAUCCCUCAAACAAGUACUACGCCUCCUCCAUCCAGGGCCGAUUCACAGCCUCCAAGGACAGCACCAACUUCUACCUGCAAAUGACCAGCCUGAGAGCGGAGGACACCGCUGUGUAUUACUGCGCCAGAGUCACAGUGAGGGGAAGUGAAUCUGAGCUCAGACAAAAACCUUCCCCUGCAGUAACAGCGCAACGUUUCUGCUGCUGA